ACCCGCUGAACUUAAGCAUAUCAAUAAGCGGAGGAAAAGAAACCAACAGGGAUUGCCUCAGUAACGGCGAGUGAAGCGGCAACAGCUCAAAUUUGAAAUCUGGCCUUCACGGUCCGAGUUGUAAUUUGUAGAGGAUGUUUUGGGCACCGCCUCGGGUUAAAUUUCUUGGAACAGAAUGUCAAAGAGGGUGAGAGUCCCGUCUUGGCCCGCGGUAGGACCUAUGUAAAACUCCUUCGACGAGUCGACUUGUUUGGGAAUGCAGGUCAAAAUGGGUGGUAAAUUUCAUCUAAAGCUAAAUAUUGGCCAGAGACCGAUAGCGCACAAGUAGAGUGAUCGAAAGAUGAAAAGCACUUUGAAAAGAGAGUUAAACAGUAUGUGAAAUUGUUGAAAGGGAAGCGCUGGCAACCAGACUCGAGCGCGGUGUUCCCCCUGGCUUCUGCCUGGGUUACUUCACCGUGACCGGGCCAUCAUCAGUUUUGGGGGCCGGUCAAAGGCCCGGGGAAUGUAUCCUCUCCUUCGGGGGAGGACUUAUAGCCCCGGGCGUCAUGCGGCCUCCCGGGACUGAGGAACGCGCUUCGGCGAGGAUGAUGGCGUAAUGGUUGUCAGCGACCCGUCUUGAAACACGG
rnacentral:rRNA from 1 species